ensembl:lncRNA
UGAACAUGUGGAAAAAGCUGAUAUCUUUCUGGGGGAGGUGUGGGAGACGUGUUAGGGAUAUGUUGGGAGAUGUGUUGGGGAUACAUUGGGAGACGUGCUGGGGAAGUCUUGGGGAUAUGUUGGGACACGUGUGGGGGACGUGUUGGAGAUUUUUUGGAGGAGGUGUUGGGAGACGUGUUGGGGAUGUGUUGGGGAGCUGUUGGAGGAGGUGUUGGGGAUUUGUUGGGGGACAUGUUGGGAGACGUGAGGGAGAUGUGUUGGGAGACGUUUGGGGGAGCUGUUGGGAGACGUAUUGGGGAUAUGUUGGGAGACGUGUGGGGGAUGUGUUGGGGAGCUGUUGGAGGAGGUGUUGCGGGACGUGUUGGAGGUGUUGGGAGACGUGUUGGGAGACGUGUGGGGGAUGUGUUGGGGAGCUGUUGGAGCAGGUGUUGGGAGACGUGUGGGGGAUGUGUUGGGGAGCUGUUGGAGCAGUGUUGGGAGACAUGUUGGGGAUAUGUUGAGGGUGUAUUAGGGACAUGUUGGGGAGGUAUUUAAGGACGUUUUGUGGGAGGCGGUGUGGACGUUUGGGGGAUGUGUUUUGGGUAUGGUGUUAGGGAUUCUUUAGGGAUGUUUUUGGGGUGUGUU